UCUCUGUUAGUAUAUCGGUUAGUACACGCGCCUGUCAUUCUAAUGACCGCGCGAAAGCGGGGUUCGACUCCCCGACAGAGAG